GAUGAACGCUGGCGGCGUGCCUAAUACAUGCAAGUCGAGCGAACAGACGAGGAGCUUGCUCCUCUGACGUUAGCGGCGGACGGGUGAGUAACACGUGGAUAACCUACCUAUAAGACUGGGAUAACUUCGGGAAACCGGAGCUAAUACCGGAUAAUAUAUUGAACCGCAUGGUUCAAUAGUGAAAGACGGUUUUGCUGUCACUUAUAGAUGGAUCCGCGCCGCAUUAGCUAGUUGGUAAGGUAACGGCUUACCAAGGCAAUGAUGCGUAGCCGACCUGAGAGGGUGAUCGGCCACACUGGAACUGAGACACGGUCCAGACUCCUACGGGAGGCAGCAGUAGGGAAUCUUCCGCAAUGGGCGAAAGCCUGACGGAGCAACGCCGCGUGAGUGAUGAAGGUCCUCGGAUCGUAAAACUCUGUUAUUAGGGAAGAACAAAUGUGUAAGUAACUAUGCACGUCUUGACGGUACCUAAUCAGAAAGCCACGGCUAACUACGUG
rnacentral:rRNA from 1 species